rnacentral:rRNA from 1 species
AGCAGCCGCGGUAAUUCCAGCUCCAAUAGCGUAUAUUAAAGUUGUUGCAGUUAAAAAGCUCGUAGUUGAAUUUCGGGGUUCUACCGUCGGUCGGGCUACCAAGUCUGUACUGGUGUGUAGGACUUCUACCUUCUGGGGAACCAUCAUGUUAUUAAUUUAGCGUGGUGGGAAACCAGGACCUUUACCUUGAAAAAAUUAGUGUGUUCAAAGCAGGCUUAUGUCUGAAUACAUUAGCAUGGGAUAAUAGAAUAGGACGGUGGUCCUGUUUUGUUGGUUUCUGAAUCACCGUAAUGAUUAAUAGGGAUAGUUGGGGGCAUUAGUAUUCAAUUGUCAGAGGUGAAAUUCUUGGAUUUAUUGAAGACUAACUUCUGCGAAAGCAUUUGCCAAGGAUGUUUUCAUUAAUCAAGAACGAAAGUUAGGGGAUCGAAGACGAUCAGAUACCGUCGUAGU